AGACCCGAAACCCGGUGAUCUAGCCAUGGGCAGGUUGAAGGUUGGGUAACACUAACUGGAGGACCGAACCGACUAAUGUUGAAAAAUUAGCGGAUGACCUGUGGCUGGGGGUGAAAGGCCAAUCAAACCGGGAGAUAGCUGGUUCUCCCCGAAAGCUAUUUAGGUAGCGCCUCGUGAAUUCAUCUCCGGGGGUAGAGCACUGUUUCGGCUAGGGGGCCAUCCCGGCUUACCAACCCGAUGCAAACUGCGAAUACCGGAGAAUGUUAUCACGGGAGACACACGGCGGGUGCUAACGUCCGUCGUGAAGAGGGAAACAACCCAGACCGCCAGCUAAGGUCCCAAAGUCAUGGUUAAGUGGGAAACGAUGUGGGAAGGCCCAGACAGCCAGGAUGUUGGCUUAGAAGCAGCCAUCAUUUAAAGAAAGCGUAAUAGCUCACUGGUCGAGUCGGCCUGCGCGGAAGAUGUAACGGGGCUAAACCAUGCACCGAAGCUGCGGCAGCGAACGUAUCACCCAAGACAACUUUACGGAGUUGACGAUUGACGGAGCGAAGCGACGUCAAAGCGUUCAUUAAAGUCGAGUUGGCUUAGGGAUACGUUCGUUGGGUAGGGGAGCGUUCUGUAAGCCUGUGAAGGUGUGU
rnacentral:rRNA from 1 species